AACGCAAAUUGCACUCUCGGGUGUUCCCGGGAGUACGCUUCUUUCAGUAUCGGUUCUAUCUAAACUCGACUGCGUUUUAAAAUUCUAUUUUAAAGCGAUUUGUCGGAUAUUGAGCGUCACAGUUUCCCUUCCGAUGGCUGUGUCGCUUGAAAGAUAGAGAGGCCCCUCUCACACUAUCGGUCAUCACUUUAUGGUUUUACUUCACUUCUCAUUCCUAUUUCUCCCUUCGGGGAGGAGUUCGAACGGGCUGGAGCAAUCUAAGUGACGUGGUUAAGUUCGCCUCCGUGCGACUCCCCAUCGUCAAUCAUCUUAGUGCGCAUCAGUUGUGUCGUGAGGCUUGUGUUUGUACUGGUGAGUAAUGGGUGACUCUUAAAACCCCCUUUGGAUUAUUUCCAACAGGAAACUAAAAAAAUCAGAUCUGAAAUGAAGUGAGAGGACCCGCUGAACUUAA
rnacentral:misc_RNA from 1 species